GAAAUGCGAUAAGUAAUGUGAAUUGCAGAAUUCAGUGAAUCAUCGAAUCUUUGAACGCACCUUGCGCUCCUUGGUAUUCCUUGGAGCAUGCCUGUUUGAGUAUCAUGAAAUCUUCAAAGUAAAUCUUUUGUUAACUCAAUUGGUUUCUACUUUGGUAUUGGAGGUCUUUGCAGCUUCACACCUGCUCCUCUUUGUUCAUUAGCUGGAUCUCAGUGUUAUGCUUGGUUCCACUCGGCGUGAUAAGUUAUCUAACGCUGAGGACACUGUAAAAGGUGGUCAAGGUAAAUGCAGAUGAACCGCUUCUAAUAGUCCAUUGACUUGGACAAUACUUUUAUGAUCUGAUCUCAAAUCAGGUAGGACUACCCGCUGAACUUAAGC
rnacentral:misc_RNA from 1 species